GACAGAGGGUGCAAACGUUGCUCGGAAUCACUGGGCGUAAAGGGCGUGUAGGCGGGUAGGCAAGUCGGGCGUGAAAUCCCUAGAGCUCAACUCAGGAACUGCACUCGAAACUGCUUAUCUUGAGUGCCGGAGAGGAAAGCGGGAAAUACCUGGUGUAGAGGUGAAAAUUCGUAGAUAUCAGGUGGAACACCAGUGGCGAAGGCGCUUUCUGGACGGGUAACUGACGCUGAGACGCGAAAGCGUGGGGAGCAAAACAGG
rnacentral:rRNA from 1 species